UUUCACUGUUAGUCUAGACCUGGGGCCUGUUGCACAAAAGUAGAAUUAAGACAUCCGGGAUAAAUUACUCAGCUGAGCUCAAUGAAGCCAAAACAUGUGCGUCCAGGCUUAAUUGGUUGCACAAAGACCAAGCCAGGAUGAGCAGACACGGAUUCAUUAAGCCAGGUGAAACCAAUCCUGGAUAGGUACGUGCUCACGGCUCACUCAAAUAGACCCCGCCACAGAUCACAGAUUAACUGAUUUACCAUGGCAACUAGAGCCGCGUACUUUUCCCCGUCGGAAGCACAAAUCCUCAUGGAGGCAUACGAGGAGGUAAAAGAUAUAAUUAAGAAGAAAGGCAACACCGCCACAGUGAUAAAGCAAAGAGAAAAAGCGUGGCAAAGUAUUGCAGACCGCCUGAAUGCGUAAGUAGUGCACAAUUACACACUCACCGCUCCGCUGAAACAUCACAAUUACAAUUCAAAUAUUUAAUUCACAUCUCCAAAAAUGCAGUUGUACUGUAAUUAUGAAACGGUUAAAUUUUUAAUUGAAAUGCACUGCAGAUAUGAGUGAAAUUGUGUAAAGUAACUCCAUCACACUGUAUAAAGCUAUGAUAAAUUUUUUGAUAUUUUUACUGAAAACAAGACAAAAAUACCAAGUAAUUUUUUGCAGUGUGACUCCAUUAAAUGUGUGUGUGUGUGUGUGUGUGUGUGUAGAUUAAACAUGAACGGGCCAAAACGGACAUGGCAGCAGGUCAAAAUCAAAUACAAGAACAUUCUGCAGAAUGCAGUGAAAAAGAAUACCCACAGACAAGGCACGGGUGGUGGGUCACCAAAGGCUGACCUUACCCCAGCAGAGGACAUGGCCUUGGAGCUAAAUAAAGGCAGGCCCGUCUUAGAGGGGAUCCCUGGGGGGAAAGAGACGAGCAUAGGUUCCUCCCAAGAUGCCACCCGCUUCAUUCAAGUGCCUGGCAGCACUGUGUUCCUGUUAGAGCCACCAGCACAAGCACCAGACGAUGCUGAUCCAGUGAGUACUCCAUCAAAGGCAUACUGUAGGCCUGGCAUGUCUUGUCUACUAGCUUCAAUAUGAAUCCGAUUAAAUGUGAUAGGGUGAAGGCCCCAGUGCAGCAGCAACAGCACAUGAUGGAGACGAUGAUGAGGAGGAGACCAUCUCUCUGGAUUCCAGAAGGCAUGAGGUAUCAUGUUAAGACUGUGAAAGUACUAUUUACUCUACAAUGGUGAGGAGUCCUCAUCAAAAUCAAAAAUCUAAUUUCUUUUACAGGACCCAGAUGCUAUACAGUGGGAAAACCAGCCUGGCAACAUAGUGCGUAUUAAUAAAAGGACACCACAUCCUGCCAAAUUCCAGCUGCGCUAAUUGUAUUGUGUUCACAGAGCUCACAAGCUAUCAGAAAGUUGUAUGGCAACCACCUCCGGCGCCAAAUAGAACUGGCAGACAUAGACAUUCAGUACAAGAAGAAAAAGAUGGAAAAUCUUGCACUGGAGUCCGAAAUAAAAAGAGGACAAUUAGGAAACUGGACCUUGAAAUAAAAAACUUGAGAGGGAGCUCCAAGAAGAUGACACAGCUCAAAAUAAAAAUUAGGUAUAUUCUCGUAAAGUCAAGUGAGCCAUGACAUAUGAGCUCUUAUUGUGAGCACACAGGACGGUGGCAUCUUUCUAAGGUUUUUUUUUAUUUUCCCAGCAAUCAGUACAACCAAGUCAUCGUUAUAAGGCAUCGCCCUCUUUUGCCCACCCCCCAGCACCAGGUGUGGCCACUAGCCUAUAUGAAGGCCCAAAAUUGUGUGUUCCUUUCUGCUCUGACAAUGGCAUGCCCAUUCGUGCGAGAUGUGGUGGAUGAAGAAGCACUUGUGCUGAGGAGAGCCUUCAGGCGAGAAAGGGUCUUCAGGGACCGGUUGGACCCACUGGCCUUCCCUGAUGACCAUCUAUAUGAAAGAUACAGGUUUUCUGCAGAUGGCAUCAGGUAUCUAUGCAGACUACUGGGUCCCAGGAUUAAGCACCGCACUGCACGGAGCCAUGCACUGAGUGUGGAGCAAAUGGUUUGUGUGGCCUUGCGCUUUUUUGCUAGUGGAGCCUUCCUGUACUCAGUGGGGGAUGCAGAACAGCUGAACAAGGCCACAAUUUGCCGCACAAUAAGGAGUGUGUGUCUGGCUAUCAAAGCAUUAGCAGAUGUCUUCAUCUCCUUCCCUGGCCACAGAAGACUCUGUGACAUCAAAGAGGAGUUCUAUAGGAUUGCAGAUGGUCUGCAAUGCUGACUGUGUGAUCAGCAAUGUUGUGGCAAAAUGGCCUGGCUCAGUCCAUGACUCCAGAAUCUUUCGGGCCUCUGAAAUCUAUCAG